rnacentral:lncRNA from 7 species
CUCCACAGAUGGAGCUGCCUAAGGUCAUGGAUGUGGUCUCUUGCAACAGUUGAGCUGCAGUCACAUCAUCAGGGGAGAGCUCCCCGAUUGCUGAUGAUUACGAAACCAUAGCUGACCAAACACAGCUGAACACAGUGGAGGGUGUGAGCCUGGCCUCUGAGGAGCUGAAAUCAGGUGAGCACCUGCCAGGGGAAGAGGCCACAGAGCUGACUCCGGCCUUGGAGCCAAAGAUUGACUCGGUCCCUGAGAGAGAGGAGCCGGAGGGUACUGAGCCACCACGUGUAGCACCGGAGCAGAGCCCAGAGCUGCCAUCUGUGUGGCAAGAGGAAAGCACCAAGACUUCACCACCGGCACUGAGAGACAAUGGUGGGCCACCAGGACCAGCAGAGGACAGUGGGUUGGAGGAAGGCAGUGACAGCUUUGUGGUGGAAAUCAUCAAGAAAGUGCAUAUUGCUGAAGAGGACCAAUUCAUUGAGGGUAAUAUUUGUGCUUUUGUCAAUUCAGGAGACCAGAUUCUGUCUCCAGAGACUUGUCAGGGGGCCCUUUUGAGUUUAGUGAGAGCCACUACUGAGCUUCCGGAGCCAGAAUUUUGGCCACGGGGUCUGUCCAAUGCAGAGCACAUAAGGAUGUGGAUGGGGAAGCCUCAGGCUCACAAAUGCAAGCUGUAAUAAAUCAGUCGUUAGCUCUGCUAUUUCAUUUCAUGCCCUUUGUGUUCUUGGUGAGAAGCCCCACCAUACCCCUCAUUUAAUGGCUGUGUUUCUGCUUAUCUUAGACACAAUGCUUCUUAUCUGCUGAGACCAAAAGUUCUAUUACUUAGUUACCUGUAUUAAUAAUAAAGCAACUGUCCCUAUUCACGAAAUGUGGUAUCUGUAGACUUCUUCACUCCACAUCCACCCUGAAGAAGUGCAAAAUGUAGAUGGACUGAUUUAUGGGAAGCCCAAUUGCACGUGCUGCUUCUUACCCUGGAGCUUUGCUGAGCAUGAGUGUUGACUUGUCCUCCCCUCUGUCUCUUUGUAAAAGAGCUUUGUGGUUUUCUUCUACAUAAAAUGGAGAUCUAUCAUUUGGAAUAAGGUCUCAUUUUAUGUAAGAAGUAAAUGAUGGGUUGCCCGCUUGUAUAAAACGGAGUCUCACCCAGCUGAAAACUCCAGUUUCAUUAAUGGCCAUUUCCAAGCUUCGUCGUGCAGCGCUGGAGGCAGAGCAGCACCUGCUGAGCAAUGCAGUGGGACCUCCUGUACACAAACAGACACCUGGAGCUGAAUGUUUGCCUGGAGAUCAGUCACAGGGCUUUGGCCACCGAGCAGCUCGUGCUGCUUGCAGGGCGAGAAAUGGAGUUUUGUUCUUAUGUGACCAAACUAGAAAUAAUGUGGAAUGACAGCGUGUUAACUUGUGUGCAUUUUCUUUCCGUGAGGUGUGUGAUGAAGAGACUUUCCAUUUUUAUGCUCUGGUGUGUAAGAUACUUAGGACUUGUUUUGUUUCCCCUUAUUCUUUAGUAGCUGUGUGAGUAAAGAUGAAUUAUGUAGCAGCUUCCCUGCUGCAGCCCAGAUGGUGCAAUACUGUUUCCUUCCCAUUGCGAAUAAAACUGCACGUACCUAAAAUAAAAUCCAAAACCU